UACGAAGGGGCUAGCGUUGCUCGGAAUCACUGGGCGUAAAGGGUGCGUAGGCGGGUUUUAAGUCAGAGGUGAAAUCCUGGAGCUCAACUCCAGAACUGCCUUUGAUACUGAGAAUCUUGAGUUCGGGAGAGGUGAGUGGAACUGCGAGUGUAGAGGUGAAAUUCGUAGAUAUUGGGAGGAACACCAGUGGCGAAGGCGGCUCACUGGACCGGUACUGACGCUGAUGCGCGAAAGCGUGGGGAGCAAACGGG
rnacentral:rRNA from 1 species